AAAGAAAUAGCUCAGUUUGGUGUGCAGUUAGACUAAAGAUCUAAAGGUAUCAGGUUCGAACCCGGUUUUCUCUA